CCUGAAAGCUGUCUACUCUGUUUAGUUUUGGCUCUGGGAACAGGAAGUAGACCUGAUCCUGAUGACCUGGGGGAUCUGUUUCAUAAUGAACCAGAUGAUCCUGA